UACGUAGGGGGCAAGCGUUGUCCGGAUUUAUUGGGCGUAAAGAGCGUGUAGGCGGCCAUGCAGGUCCGCUGUGAAAACUCGAGGCUCAACCUCGAGAGGUCGGUGGAAACCGCAUGGCUAGAGUCCGGAAGAGGAGAGUGGAAUUCCCGGUGUAGCGGUGAAAUGCGCAGAUAUCGGGAAGAACACCCGUGGCGAAGGCGGCUCUCUGGGACGGUACUGACGCUGAGACGCGAAAGCGUGGGGAG
rnacentral:rRNA from 1 species